rnacentral:rRNA from 1 species
UACGUAGGGACCGAGCGUUGUCCGGAAUCAUUGGGCGUAAAGAGCGUGUAGGCGGCCUUUUAAGUCCUGCGUGAAAUCCUGCGGCUCAACCGCAGACGGUCGUGGGAAACUGGAAGGCUAGAGUGCGGGAGAGGAGAGUGGAAUUCCCGGUGUAGCGGUGAAAUGCGCAGAUAUCGGGAAGAACACCCGUGGCGAAGGCGGCUCUCUGGAACGCAACUGACGCUCAUGCACGAAAGCGUGGGGAGCAAACAGG